UACGUAGGGUGCGAGCGUUAAUCGGAAUUACUGGGCGUAAAGCGUGCGCAGGCGGUUUUGUAAGCCAGAUGUGAAAUCCCCGGGCUUAACCUGGGAAUGGCAUUUGGGACUGCAAGGCUCGAGUGCGGCAGAGGAGACUGGAAUUCCUGGUGUAGCAGUGAAAUACGUAGAUAUCAGGAGGAAUACCGAUGGCGAAGGCAGGUCUCUGGGCUGACACUGACGCUCAUGCACGAAAGCGUGGGGAGCAAACAGG
rnacentral:rRNA from 1 species